GGGGCCUGCUUGAAGAUUUUAUGGAACUGACACUGAUUAUAGAUCAGACAAGAGGGAACAUGUGAUAAAACACACAGACGCAAACCCAGAGCCAGGAUUCUCGGAAAAGUGAGAUCAUUGUUUUUAAAGAAAAACAGGCGCAUAAGAACAUGAGCUUCACACACACACUCUCACACACACACACGGAUUUCAACAUACUGGCCUGCGAUUUCUGAUAUGACAUUAGUGAUCAAUUCCGAUAACAAUACUUGUUGCAAAACUUUGAAAAAUGAGGGUUAGAUUAGAUAUGAGCGUGGAAUAAGGAGAUAACAUCACCUCACAGGUCAGUGGUAAACAAUGCACAAAGUCCAGUUAGGGCAGUUUUUCUACUGCACAUAUAGAAACAAAACCAAGCCUUGAGAAACUCUUUUGAGAAACAAGGAACACAGUAAAUUCAAGUGCCUAUGAUGCAUUUGACACCAUUUUAAGCCCCUUAUGGCUGAGGUAGGAAAUGCUAACAGGCUAUGCUAAUAACUGAUGUAGAAAAAAAACACUAACACUCUGAGGUAAUCGCUAAUGUAGAAUAUAACACCAACACUGAGGUAAUCUCUAAUGUAGAAUUAAAACACUAACACUGAGGUGAUCUCUAAUGUAGAAUAAAACACUAACACUGAGGUAAUCUCUAAUGUAGAAUAAAACACUAACACUCUGAGGUAAUCUCUAAUGUAGAAUAAAACACUAACACUCUGAGGUAAUCUCUAAUGUAGAAUAUAACACUAACACUCUGAGGUAAUCUCUAAUGUAGAAUAAAACACUAACACUCUGAGGUAAUCGCUAAUGUAGAAUAAAACACUAACACACAUAGAAUUAGAAGCUACCACUAUCUAAGCUAAUCACUGAUGUUAGAUGAAGGGCUAACACACUAAACCAAUUCACAGCGAUGGUGAAAAUGAAGACCUAACGCUCAGCUAAUGACUGGUGUAAACUAUGGCGUAGGUCGAAGGCCUAGCGUCCUUAGCUAAUGACAUAUGUAGCUUUGCUAAUCACAUAUGUAGCAUGACGAGCUAAAUAUAGGGUAGACUGCUUAUAUCAAAACAAGCUGUGUGCUACAGACACCAUGUCAUUAUGUCAGCUGUGAACUUCAACACCUUCAUACUUCAUUUUGAGAGAUUUGUUGCAGCCUGAGUGAAGUGGACUCGCCUGAUUCUGUUCACACUGUAUUUCCUUUCACCUCAGCAAAAUUUUGAUCAGAUUGAUCAGAAACAGUAACUCUGACCUCUGGUGUUUAAGUGUGUUUGUACCUGAGCUUGUUAAAGUUUAAGUCUGGUUUCAUGAUUGUGGUGCUAUUUAGCCCUUGUUGUACCUCUUAGAAAAUACAUUAAAAAAAAAAAAAAAAAAAAAAAGAUUGUAGGG
ensembl:lncRNA